rnacentral:rRNA from 1 species
GACGAACGCUGGCGGCGUGCCUAAUACAUGCAAGUAGGACGCAGUUGCGAACGGGUGAGUAACGCGUAGGUAACUACCUAUUAGAGGGGGAUAACUAUUAGCAACGAUAGCUAAUACCGCAUACUAGUAGAUGGACCUGCGUUGUAUUAGGUAGUAGGUAGGGGAAUGGCCUACCAAGACAACGAUACAUAGCCGACCUGAGAAGGUGAUCGGCCAAACUGGGACUGGGACACGGCCCAGAAUCCUACGGGAGGCAACAAGAGGGAAUCUUCGGCAAAGGGGGGAACCCUGGCCGAGCAACGCCGCGGGAGUGGAGAAGGUUUUCGGAUCGUAAAGCUCUGUUGUUAAGGGAGCGGUACUUAACCAGAAAGGGACGGCUAACUACGUGCCAGCAGCCGCGGUAAUAC